GCGACAUAAACCUUUCCAAUCUUUUCUCACUAUCCCUUUCCGGGUCAUUAUCCCUUACCACCAAUGUAGUCAAAGCAGUCAAAGCUUGUGCAAUCUGAGCGUUGGUCCUAGCGGCAGCCAUGAUUCCUGAACGAAUCACAACUCGACGUNNNNNNNNNNNACACAUGCUUCAUACAAGAGAAAGAAAAUCCAAAUGGCUCACAUGAACCGACCUGCUCUGAUACCACUAUUGUAACACCCCGAACUAACUACCCUUAAAAACGUGAUCUUAAAAACUCUUUAAAGAUAAGUAGCCGGAGCGCUACGGAAAACAAUUUUAUAAAAC
rnacentral:lncRNA from 1 species